rnacentral:rRNA from 1 species
GAUCUGGCUCAGGACGAACGCUGGCGGCGCGCCUAACACAUGCAAGUCGAACGAGCGAGAGAGAGCUUGCUUUCUCGAGCGAGUGGCGAACGGGUGAGUAACGCGUGAGGAACCUGCCUCAAAGAGGGGGACAACAGUUGGAAACGACUGCUAAUACCGCAUAAGCCCACGACCCGGCAUCGGGUAGAGGGAAAAGGAGCAAUCCGCUUUGAGAUGGCCUCGCGUCCGAUUAGCUAGUUGG